rnacentral:rRNA from 1 species
GUACAAGCCGCACUAAGGUGAAACCGCAAACGGCUCAUUAAAUCAGUUUUAGUUCACUUGAGCGAUAACAUCCGUUUUUGGAUAACUGUGGCAAUUCUAGAGCUAAUACAUGCAACCAAGUCCCGACCAGUAAUGGAAAGGACGCUUUUAUUAGAUCAAAAUCAAUCGGGGUCGGACAAGCGCCGCUCCGUUUGACUUGAUGACUCUGAAUAACCAGUCGGAUCGCACGGUCUCAGUGCCGGCGACCCAUCUUUCAAAUGCCUGACUGAUCAACUGUCGAUGGUAGAUUCUACGUCUACCAUGGUUGUAACGGGUGACGGGGAAUCAGGGUUCGAUUCCGGAGAGGGAGCCUGAGAAACUGCUACCACAUCCAAGGAAGGCAGCAGGCACGCAAAUUACCCACUCCCGGCACGGGGAGGUAGUGACAAAAAAUAACGAUACGGGACUCAUCCGAGGCCCCGUAAUCGGAAUGAGAACACUCUAAAUCAUUUAACAAGGACCUAUUGGAGGGCAAGUCUGGUGCCAGCAGCCGCGGUAAUUCCAGCUCCAAUAGCGUAUAUUAAAGUUGUUGCGGUUAAAAAGCUCGUAGUUGGUUCUGCGUCCCACGCUGUCGGUUCACCGCCUGUCGGUGCAACUGGCACGCCGUGGGAUGUCCUGUCGGUGGCGGCCGCGGCCCGGCGGUUGAGGGGUAAGAUCC